rnacentral:misc_RNA from 1 species
GAUGAAGAACGCAGCGAAAUGCGAUACGUAAUGUGAAUUGCAGAAUUCAGUGAAUCAUCGAAUCUUUGAACGCAUAUUGCGCUCUCUGGUAUUCCGGAGAGCAUGCUUGUUUGAGUAUCAGUAAACACCUCAACUCCCUUUUCUUUUUUGAAAUUGGAGCUGGACUUGAGUGAUCCCAACGCUUUCUUCCAAGAAAGUGGCGGGUUGCUUGAAAUGCAGGUGCAGCUGAACUUUUCUCUGAGCUAUAAGCAUAUCUAUUUAGUCUGCCUAAAAAACAGAUUAUUACCUUUGCUGCAGCUAACAUAAAGGAGACUAGUUCUUGUGCUGACUGAUGCAGGAUUCACAGAGACAGCUUCGGCUGACUUUGUAAACUCGAUCUCAAAUCAAGUAAGACUACCCGCUGAACUUAAGCAUAUCAAUAACGGAGGA